GUUUUCCAGGCAAAUCCGGAAAAUCAAGGCUGAGGCGUGAUGACGAGGCACUACGGUGCUGAAGCAACAAAUGCCCUGCUUCCAGGAAAAGCCUCUAAGCAUCAGGUAACAUCAAAUCGUACCCCAAACCGACACAGGUGGUCAGGUAGAGAAUACCAAGGCGCUUGAGAGAACUCGGGUGAAGGAACUAGGCAAAAUGGUGCCGUAACUUCGGGAGAA
rnacentral:rRNA from 1 species